GGUCAUGAUCUGGUUCCAGGGUUCAAACCUGUGUCAGGCUCUGUGCUGACAGAUCAGAGCCUGAAGCCUGCUUUGGAUUCUGUGUCUGUCUCUCUCUCUGCCCCUCACCCACUCAAGUUCUGUCUUUGUCCCUCUCAAAAUUAAAUAAAUAGGAAGAUGAGAAAGAAGAAGAAGAAGAAGAAGAAGAAGAAGAAGAAGAAGAAGAAGAAGAAAUUUAUUUAUAAGCAUUUUGGACAGAUUAGCUCAUCUGCUAUGCAGAGGAAACUGAUUUUAAUUUCCCUCUCUCCUACCUACAUAAGUAUCAGCCCUUGUUUCUUCCUCUACAGAAUCUGUGCUAACGUUUUGUAUAUAUCACUUUAUUUCGUCGUUACCCAUUGUGGAGCAGAGCUUAUUCUAACUGAGGCACAGAUCAGGGAACGGAGGCUCCAAUAAAUGAAGUAUCCAGAAGUUACACCAACAGUUAGUGGUGGAACAGUAAAUUGAGCCCAGAUUUGAUUCCUCACCAUUAUGCUCCAAGAACCAUAAAGACCAUAUAAAUAAAAUUAUUAGAUCUGGGGGCA
rnacentral:lncRNA from 1 species